UACGGGGGGGGCAAGCGUUGUUCGGAAUUACUGGGCGUAAAGGGCUCGUAGGCGGCCAACUAAGUCAGACGUGAAAUCCCUCGGCUUAACCGGGGAACUGCGUCUGAUACUGGAUGGCUUGAGUUUGGGAGAGGGAUGCGGAAUUCCAGGUGUAGCGGUGAAAUGCGUAGAUAUCUGGAGGAACACCGGUGGCGAAGGCGGCAUCCUGGACCAACACUGACGCUGAGGAGCGAAAGCCAGGGGAGCAAAGC
rnacentral:rRNA from 1 species